rnacentral:rRNA from 1 species
CACGUAGGGUGCGAGCGUUGUCCGGAAUUAUUGGGCGUAAAGAGCUCGUAGGCGGUGUGUCGCGUCGGCCGUGAAAACCUGCAGCUUAACUGUGGGCGUGCGGUCGAUACGGGCAUCACUGGAGUUCGGCAGGGGAGACUGGAAUUCCUGGUGUAGCGGUGAAAUGCGCAGAUAUCAGGAGGAACACCGGUGGCGAAGGCGGGUCUCUGGGCCGAUACUGACGCUGGGGAGCGAAAGCGGGGGGAGCGAACAGG